UCCCUGGUGGUCUGGUGUUAGGACUCAGUGCUUUCACUGCCAUGGGCCCGGGUUCAAUCCCUGGUCAGGGAA
rfam:TPA: Bos taurus chromosome 7, whole genome shotgun sequence.